CGCGGCCUAUCAGCUUGUUGGUGGGGUAAUGGCCUACCAAGGCGACGACGGGUAGCCGGCCUGAGAGGGCGACCGGCCACACUGGGACUGAGACACGGCCCAGACUCCUACGGGAGGCAGCAGUGGGGAAUAUUGCGCAAUGGGCGAAAGCCUGACGCAGCGACGCCGCGUGAGGGAUGAAGGCCUUCGGGUUGUAAACCUCUUUCAGCAGGGAAGAAGCGCAAGUGACGGUACCUGCAGAAGAAGCACCGGCUAACUACGUGCCAGCAGCCGCGGUAAUACGUAGGGUGCAAGCGUUGUCCGGAAUUAUUGGGCGUAAAGAGCUCGUAGGCGGUCUGUCGCGUCUGCUGUGAAAACUCGGGGCUUAACCCCGGGCCUGCAGUGGGUACGGGCAGACUAGAGUGCGGUAGGGGAGACUGGAAUUCCUGGUGUAGCGGUGAAAUGCGCAGAUAUCAGGAGGAACACCGGUGGCGAAGGCGGGUCUCUGGGCCGUAACUGACGCUGAGGAGCGAAAGCGUGGGGAGCGAACAGGAUUAGAUACCCUGGUAGUCCACGCCGUAAACGGUGGGUACUAGGUGUGGGUUUCCUUCCUUGGGAUCCGUGCCGUAGCUAACGCAUUAAGUACCCCGCCUGGGGAGUACGG
rnacentral:rRNA from 1 species